CCCACCCGUGCGUGGUGCCCUCGGGAACCCUCGGCUGGAGGGACUCGCUCUCCAGCCGAGCCCGGUCGGGGCAGAGCCCGGUCUGCAGCUGCGAGGACCGGAGCGGCGGGAGGUGGCGCCUCUGUUCUGGAGCCGGGAUUCGCGGCCAUGACAGUGUCGGCCCGCGCCUUCUGGCUGCUCCGCGGCCGCCUGGGCCGAGUGUCGGCGUUGGGCCGGAACGCGGCGUCGCUCUUGGCGGCGCCGGGAACGGCCGGGCGCGCGUUCCGGGGCUUUCGGAGCAGCGGCUUGAGACAUGACGCAAUUAUUAUCUCAGGAACUGAAAUGGCCAAACAAAUCCAGAAAGAAAUACAGCGAGGUGUGGAAUCUUGGAUUUCUCUUGGGAAUGGAAGACCUCACCUCAGUAUCAUUUUAGUGGGUGAUAACCCAGCAAGCCACACAUACGUCAGGAAGAAGAUCAAAGCUGCUGCUGCCGUAGGUAUCUGUAGUGAGAUCAUUCUAAAACCUAAGGAUGUUUCUCAGGAAGAACUUUUGGAUAUAACCAAUCAAUUGAACAUGGACCCAAGAGUCAGUGGUAUAUUAGUUCAGUUGCCACUGCCAGACCACGUGGAUGAGCGGACAGUAUGCAAUGGAAUUGCCCCGGAAAAAGACGUAGAUGGAUUUCAUAUUAUUAACAUUGGAAGACUAUGCCUGGAUCAGCAUUCUCUCAUACCUGCCACUGCUAGUGCUGUUUGGGAAAUUAUCAAACGAACAGGAAUUGAAACAUUUGGAAAAAAUGUGGUUGUGGCUGGAAGAUCCAAGAAUGCAGGGAUGCCCAUCGCCAUGCUCUUACACACUGAUGGAGAGCACGAACGGCCAGGAGGUGAUGCAACUGUGACAAUAGCUCACAGAUAUACUCCCAAAGAACAACUGAAGAUCCAUACUCUGCUGGCAGAUGUUAUCGUAGUAGCUGCAGCCUCACCUCUGACUCAUCAUUGUGAAACCAAGAAAUCAUUUAGCCUCUCAGCACCUCAGAAUCUCCCUUCUGUGAACGAGGAUAAUGGGUAUUCCAAAGUUGAUUACAUCUGAUAUGGUUAAAGAAGGUGCUGCUGUAAUUGAUGUGGGUAUCAACUAUGUCCAUGACCCAAUGACAGGAAAGACAAAAUUAGUUGGAGACGUGGACUUUGAAGCUGUUAAGAAGAAGGCUAGCUUUAUCACUCCAGUUCCAGGAGGCGUGGGACCCAUGACAGUGGCAAUGCUUCUCAAGAACACCCUUCUGGCAGCUAAAAAAAUCAUUUACUAGAUCACAUGAAAGAAUAAAGCAAACUGAAGUCAUGCUACGUAUCUAUUUGACAAAAGGCAAAAACCUUUAUAUUUUACUACAAAGCUAUUUCUACAUUGUAUUUAUUUUUUCACAGAUGGAAUCAUUGUGGAUCAGAUGAUUCACACAAUCUUAUGCAUUUCCUGCUAAUAAUUACUGAAUAUUUUGAGUGGAUAUUGAGUUUUAGGAAAAGAAAACAAAACAACUGCAAUGAAAACUUUGGUAACAAUUGUUUAUUUUGUGAUUAAUAUUUGUUCAUAACGUUAAAACUAAUAAAGGGCUCAUAAUAAAUGCAUAUAUUUUUGACACAAAUAGUGUGUUUUCAACAAACAUUUUGUCAGACAAAUAAGCUCCCUUGUAAAAUGUGAUUUAGGUUUUGCCAUAAUUAUGGCCAAUUUUUAUAUAUUUUAUGUACUAUAUCAUAUGAUGAAAAAGAGUUUAUUUGCUAAAGGAAAGAUAAAAUAUUAAAAAUAAUAUUUUGAUCUCAUAUACUUCCCAAAUGCAUCCUACGAGGCAUACUAAUGAGAAAUGAUGCUCCAUUCGAAGAAAGAAAAACAUGCAAGGAAGGCAAAAAAUGCAGUGCUACUUGGAAAGGUAUUGAUUAUUUCAAAUGGUGAAUUACUACUUGCCAAGUAAAAAUGCAAUAAGAAUGUGUUAGGUUUACAUGCAAUUCCUUUGUUCUUCUAGAAAAAUAUUUGGAUAAUACCUUCCUUGAAGAAUAAUGGAAACUCCAAAACCAAACAAAUAUACAAAACAAAACUAAGGUUGUAUUUUCCCACAAAUAUCAGGAAAACACAAUAUAGUAUGAAUGAGGACUUCAUUAAAGAAUAGAAGUUAUGUUUGUUCACAAAUCUAGAAAUCUAAUAGAAAAAUAUGACACAAUGUGCCCAAGCUAAGCCUUAGGAUAUGACUAAAAAUCUAUUGCUUUGUUCCUCACAGUUCUUCCUUCUUCUCUUAUAGCAUUUGGUUCUCAAAGUAGAUGUCAUGUUUCUAACACAAUUUAAAUUAGAAAAAACAUGUGACUGUCCGUUGGAGGCUAUUUUGAGACUACCCUGGGCAUAUAAUUGUAUUGCUUUCAGGUCCAAAUCCCAGUCUGUUUAUGUACCAGUAAUGAUUCUUACCCAAUGCAUGUCGUUAUUAGUGUAUACUCUUGAUCAUUUGUGUGAAAAUAGACUAGAUGUUUAUAAUUAAUAUUUCAACUGUAUAAUAAAACCAGUUUGGAAAGGAA